rnacentral:rRNA from 1 species
UACGAAGGGGGCUAGCGUUGCUCGGAAUCACUGGGCGUAAAGGGUGCGUAGGCGGGUCUUUAAGUCAGGGGUGAAAUCCUGGAGCUCAACUCCAGAACUGCCUUUGAUACUGAAGAUCUUGAGUUCGGGAGAGGUGAGUGGAACUGCGAGUGUAGAGGUGAAAAUUCGUAGAUAUCGCAAGAACACCAGUGGCGAAGGCGGCUCACUGGCCCGAUACUGACGCUGAUGCACGAAAGCGUGGGGAGCAAACAGG